rnacentral:lncRNA from 1 species
GCCACAAUAAAGUCGGUAGGGGUCUCCCCUUCCGACUUCGGUAAAAAAAAAACAUUUUUGCCACGAUAAAGAUAGUUGAUCAUGCAAGCGUGUUACAAUUUAUGGUCAGACAAUGUUGUCAAUUUCUGAUUUGGACUAGGUUCGUGGUAGUUUUUUCGUGUGCCCGCGGCUGACAUCACAGUUGGUGCCCGCACUACUAUGAUUUACAUGCAUGUCUCUUUGCCAAUUUGUUAGUUAGGGGGACAAGGAGGUCGAACAAUGGGGAAAUUGAGUAGAAAAAAAAACUGAAAAGCAGAAUCCGAAAAAAUAAUACUCGCUACGUCUAAGGGUCAUGCGAUGCACACUCGUAACCUUAUCAAAAAGAGAAAAAUAUUAACCGUAGCACCGUUUGAAAAAAUAUAUCACAUAACAUUUAGCAUAGGUCGUGUACCUCCAUUUUCUAAGUUGUACAUGAGAUCUUGCAAAAUUCUCAAAAUAGUUGCACUUUCCUUCUCAAAGUCUAGUAUUAGUGCUAUCAUUCCAUUGCAUGAGAGACAUUUAUUUGAAUAAAAUUGAAAAAUAUUGUAUACUCCUUUUGGUGAACUAUGCAACCAUUAUUACCAUAUAAUAAAAGGUAAGUAAAAAUCGACGUGAA